rnacentral:rRNA from 1 species
GACAGAGGGUGCAAACGUUGUUCGGAAUUACUGGGCGUAAAGCGCGUGUAGGCGGCUAUGUAAGUCGGGCGUGAAAUCCCACGGCUCAACCGUGGAAGUGCACCCGAAACUGCGUAGCUAGAGUCCUGGAGAGGAAGAUGGAAUGCUUGGUGUAGAGGUGAAAUUCGUAGAUAUCAAGCGGAACACCGGUGGCGAAGGCGGCCUUCUGGACAGUGACUGACGCUGAGACGCGAAAGCGUGGGGAGCAAACAGG